GAGUACAUUGGGGAUGGCUGUUGAUAGGCAGGUAUGGGUUGGCGGUUAGAGGUGCUUAGAGGACGUGAAGCUGCUGGCCUAGGGUUAUGAAAACCUGUACUCUGAGCACCAUACGGUCCACUUAAAGGUGAAGAUCCAGGAAAACCAGCAGAAGGCUCUGCUUUAGGAUAAACAGGUGGUGAAUUAGCAGCCGGAUAUCUUACUGGCUCAGCUUGAUUCUGAGCACCAUACGGCCCACUUAAAGGUGAAGAUCCAGGAAAACCAGCAGAAGGCUCUGCUUUAGGACAAACAGGUGGUGAAUUAGCAGCCGGAUAUCUUACUGGCUCAGCUUGAUUCGGAAAAGAACUACCAUGCAAUGGAUUCAUUCUAGGCUGCUGUAGAGGGGUC
rnacentral:lncRNA from 1 species